AUGUUUUUACAUUAAGGUUAGCAGGUGGAUGGCUUGGCUCGAUAUACGAUGAAGGACGUGGCAAGCUGCGAUAAGCUUCGGCGAGGUGCAAGCAACUUUUGAACCGAAGAUUUCCGAAUGUGACUUCACAUUAGACCCGAUAAGGGUGGUAAACUCAGGGAAUUGAAACGUCUUAGUACCUGAAGGAAAAGAAACCAAUUGGGAUACUGUUAGUAAGAGCGACUGAACGCAGUGUAGGGCAAACUGAAUCCCUAUCAGAAAUGUUAGGGAGAUGUGGUGUAGACCGCCAUUAACGUCUUAUUUUUUGCAUUAGAAGUGAUCUGGAAAGAUUUACCAUAGAGGGUGAUAGUCCCGUAUUUGAAUAAAAAAAGACUUAGGCGAGUUCAAGAGUAGUGUUUAUUGGAUAUUAAGCAUGAAUGGGAGACAACAACUUCCAACCCUAAAUAUACGUCGAGACCGAUAGAGCAUAGUACCGUGAGGGAACGCUGAAAAGUACUCUUAACCGAGAGUUAAAAGAUCCUGAAACCUGUUAGCUAUGGUGGGAUACGCGCUUUAAGGGCGUGUAUCGUGCGUUUUGAAUAACGUGCCAGGGAGUGUAUUUGAGUGGCGAGAAUAAUCUGAAAAAGAGGAUUCGCAGCGAAAGCGAGACCCCGCAGUUUACGAGGGGGGAGGUGUUAAAGCGCCUCAAGUCACUUGGAUACGACCCGAAGCCGGUCGAUCUACUCCUGGGUAAGGUGAAGCGUUGGUAACACAGCGUGGAGGCCUGAAGAUGUGCUACGAGCAAGUGCUAUUCUAACCUGGGAGUAGGGGUAAAAAGCCAAUCGAGACCGGUGAUAGCUGGUUCCUGUCAAAGUUGGCCGUAGUCAAGUCUCGAGCGAGAUUGUUAAGAAGGUAGAGCCACGGAUGGGGGGUUUAGGGGGAGAAAUUCCUCGGCUUCCUUUCCAACUCCGAAUGUCUUAACGUCGUAGACCUCGGGAGACGGCGGCUCGUCGUAAGGGUGAGUCGCGAGAGGGAAACAACCCAGAUUAUAGUUAAGGUCCCUAAAUGUUUGCUAAGUGUUAAAGGGUGAAGGUAGUCUACAACCAUAGACAGCGAGGAGGUUGGCUUAGAAGCAGCCAUCCUUUAAAAAGUGCGUAACAGCUUACUUGUCAAGGUUGUGGGCGCCGAAAAUGGACGGGGCUAAGCAAACUACCGAUACUAUAAGCCUCCGCAAGGAGUGCGGUAGACAGGCGUGUUGCAAGAGUAGAAGCGUUUUCGCGAGGAUGCGUGGAUCUUGCUUCAAUGAAAAUCCUGGUGAGAGUAGGAACAUAGCAGUGUGAGAAUCACUGUCACCGAAAGGGCAAGGGUUUCUUGACCAUGUAGAUCAGUCAAGAGUAAGUCGAUCCUAACCGAUUUCGUAAUUCGAAUUAUCGGGAAAGGGAAACUGGUUAAUAUUCCAGUACUAAUAGAGUAUAUGUGGUAACACAAGGAUUAUUUCUGACGCUUCGGGCUAGACUAACAUAUAUUGUCUAGUGUGUUAAUGCGAAUAAGUGAGGGGAGUAACGUAAUGUUGAGAACCUGAUUAAAUUGCAGAAUAGCGGUCUUUUGAUCGUUUAGUUGAUGCCUGGAGUCCUUGAAAAAGGAAUAAUCAUAGAUCUUUAUUAAUCGUACCCAGAACCAGCACAGGUGCCCCUAGGUGAGAAGCCUAAGGUGUGUAGGGAAAAACUAGUUAAGGGAAUUCAGCAAAUUAGCCCUGUACCUUCGGAAUAAGGGGUCCCUACUUUUGUAUUCGUAUGGAUGCGAUUGUAGGGUUUAAUAACUAAGGUAGUCCGACUGUUUAACAAAAACAUAACCGACUGCAAGCCAGUAAUGGUUAGUAUAGUCGGUGACGUCUGCCCAGUGCCAGUACCUAAAAGCUCUUUUCAAGGAGCCUAAAGGCUGGUAAACGGCGGGGGUAACUAUAACUCUCUUAAGGUAGCGAAAUGCCUUGCCGUUUGAUUGACGGCCUGCAUGAAUGGCGUAACGAGAUUACCACUGUCCCUAACUAGUACCCUCCGAAAACUCUUUUCCGGUGCAAAAGCCGGAGAAUUCCAAUGGGAAGUGAAGACCCCGUGAAACUUUACUGUAGCCAGUAGUUGUAGUGUGAGUUUGAUUAUAUAGCGUAAAUGGGAGUCGUUUGACGCAGUGUCGCCAGAUACUGUUUAGACAACAAUGUAACACCAUUUUUUCAAGUUUGCACUGCUUACCACUAAGUGUGGGACACCUGCUGGUGGACAGUUUGGCUGGGGUGGCACGCCGUUGAAAAGGUAUCAAUGGCGCCCAAAGGUUAGCUCAAACGGGUCAGAAAUCCGUUGUAGAGUGCAAGAGCAAAAGCUAGCCUAACUGGGAUCGUAACAAGAUCGAUCUCAGUAACGAAAGUUUGGUCUAGCGAUCCAUUAGUUCCCCUUGUCUGGGGGCUAGUGUUGACCGAAAAGUUACUCCGGGGAUAACAGAGUUGUCGCGCCCGAGAGCUCAUAAUUUAUUAGUUCGUUCUAAUAUUUUGAGUAGAUCGACGGCGCGGCUUGCUACAUCGAUGUCGGCUCUUCCUAUCCUGGCUGUGCAGAAGCGGCCAAGGGUGGGGGUGUUCACCCAUUAAAAGGGAUCGUGAGCUGGGUUCAGAACGCUGUGAGGCAGUUUGUUUAAUAUCUAUUGGAAUUGUUUAAUGUCUGAGAGGAAGGACCAUUUAGUACGAGAGGAACGAUGGCUCGGAGCCACUGGUGGAUCGAUUAUCUGACAAGGUAAGUUGAGCAGCUACGCUCCAAGAGGUAAGUGCUGAAAGCAUCUAAGCACGAAACAAUCUCUCGUUUUAAUUACAUAUCUAGGUUACUUUAAAAUGUA
rfam:Desulfobacteraceae bacterium 4572_19 ex4572_19_scaffold_16751, whole genome shotgun sequence.